rnacentral:lncRNA from 1 species
CUCUUGGGAAACCUCUUAGAUUUCUUCUCCUGUCAACAGCUCAUCUUGUUUGCUUGUGAAGAACAAUGAUGUCCAGAAACCUUUCUGACAAAACAAGCAAUAAGUUAGGGUUCCAUUCUGGUGUUAUGCUCACCCUGCCAUAGGUCGGAUAAAUGUGACUCAUUUAUAAAUUCUCUAGAAAGAAUGUUGGGUGCAGACCUCAUGUUUCACCUCAGUGCAUCUCUGAACAGAUGUGUGGUAUGCCAGGGGGGAAAUGAACAUUUUUUGUUAGCAAGGAGAGGGAAAAAACAGCUAUACUUUGUUAAGUGUAAAUAAUUGUCAUCUGGUUUGAUGAAACCACAUAUACACAUCUGGAGACUCUUGAAGAAGUCAUUGUUCUACGACACAGUCACUCCCUGCUGAUCACCUUGGGACACAUCAGAAUUUACAUACAUACAUACAUACAUACAUACAUACAUACAUACAUACAGUAUGUAUGUAUGUAUGCAUGCAUGCAUGCAUGCAUGCAUACAUACAUACAUACAUACAUACAUACAUACAUACAUACAUACAUACAUACAUACAUACAUACUCUUAUGUUUAUUUUCCACAGUGGAUAAAAUCCUUUGCCUUUAUCCUUUUUGGUUUAUUGUUUGUUUUUGCAGAGCAUCACAUCAUCCUGGAACAUUGAGAAAAUGGGUAGCGGUGUGCUAAAAAUUUCUCCUAUGCUCCUUCAAUUUGAUAGGACAGAAAUUCUCAUUGAAAAGGAAUAUGGAACAGGAAGUAAUUAAAGAAAAAUGAUAAAAUGGAUGCAGGAAUUAGGUAGAACAAUUCAAACAGAGGAUUGGUUUAGAGCAUGGGAUGAUAACCAAGAAACUAUUAAUAAGUACAAAAUUGAAAGAAAAUUAUAUGAAAAUAUUAUAUAGAUGGUAUAUGACACCAGAGAAAAUGGCAAAGGUGAAGAAAAAUGAGAAAGAUAAAUGUUGGAGAUAUAAGACAAUAAAAAGAACACUAUAUCAUAUGUGGUGGGGUUG